rnacentral:rRNA from 1 species
CACACGACUCUCGGCAACGGAUAUCUCGGCUCUCGCCUCGAUGAAGAACGUAGCAAAAUGCGAUACCUGGUGUGAAUUGUAGAAUCCCAUGAACYAUCAAGUUUUUGAACGCAAGUUGCGCCCGAGGCCUUCUGGUUGAGGGCACGCCUGCCUGGGCAUCACGC